CUUUGGUUGUAUUUUGUUGGUUUUUACGACUAAAGUAAUGAUUAAUAGGGACAGUUGGGGGCAUUUGUAUUUAGGCGUCAGAGGUGAAAUUCUUGGAUUGCCUAAAGACAAACUACUGCGAAAGCAUUUGCCAAGGAUGUUUUCAUUAAUCAAGAACGAAAGUUAGGGGAUCGAAGACGAUCAGAUACCGUCGUAGUCUUAACCAUAAACUAUGCCGACUAGGGAUUGGAUGCUGUUCAUUAUGACGCAUUCAGCACCUUGAGAGAAAUCAAAGUUUUUAGGUUCCGGGGGGAGUAUGGUCGCAAGGCUGAAACUUAAAGGAAUUGACGGAAGGGCACCACCAGGAGUGGAGCCUGCGGCUUAAUUUGACUCAACACGGGGAAACUCACC
rnacentral:rRNA from 1 species